AAUCCGCGCCCAACACGGUAGCCCGGUGCCUACCAACCACGCAGCGGCGCCAGAGCUCGCAGUCAGGCGGGCUCCUCUGUUUGCCAAGAUGUCACGUGGUACAGGCCCGCGGAGCCCGGUGAUAGGCGGCGAGCGAAACUCUCGUCCCGCCCACCUCGGUCACGUGGUACGGCCGGCGCAGCUUGAUAACGCAGCUCCCAGCCCCUCGGCGCCGCUCCCGCCCCGCCCCGCCGCUGCCGCCGCGCCGAGUCCUUUUGUCCAAGAUGGCGGCGCCGGGGGCGCUGCCUCCUGGGCUGCCGCCGCUGCCGCUCUGAGGGACCCGCGGGCCGCCCGCCCGCCAAGCCGGCGCAAUGAAGCGGCAGAACGAGCGAGACUCCAGCCCGAGCGGGCGUGGCUCGUCAUCGUCCGCCAAGCGGCCGC
rnacentral:lncRNA from 1 species